CAACGGUCUGCCUCUACAGCAGCAGCGCGCCAGCGCCGCGCCAGGCACGGUUCUGGUGUGUAAAGACACAGAAAACGCGAGGCAGCCACCACGCUUCUGGGACGCUUCAGACACGCGAUGCUCACGCCACGCAGCCAGUGUGUCACCGGCCUUAUCCCUACUGUUCACGAAAUAAACAGGCAGAAACCACUGCAGGCCUCAUUUGCGUUGCCAUUUUUAAGCGUACAGGAAGAGAGAGAACAACUGAGACUAAGCCAUCGAGCGCCACGGUAUCGGCCUUCUGUCCUGCGGCUGAACAGCUACUUAUCAGGUCACAUAAGCCACCCAUUGAUUCCCAUUACUGAAUCUUGUUAUUGUUGGUUUGUAUGGCUCAAGGGAGAGUUUACUGCUUGCCACUUGAAUCAGUUGACUUACAGUGUUCCAUUUGUGCUCAUUAAGGCAUGGGUCAUUGAAGGGCAACAUGCUUUCGUCACAGUUUGGGGAAAAUAGAUCAUUUCACACUCAAUUUAAAGCACAAUAGAGUGCCAUUAAUGUUCCUGUAAACCUAUGUUUCUAUUACCAAAAAAUACAUCAUUUGCAUUUGGGGGGUUGUUUAAUGUGCAUGCCACUUAAUUUUAUUCCUGGAUGAAGGGACUCUAGACUCAUUUCCAAAAAUGUCAUAGAAGCUGUAACAUGUAGCAGCCCUUCCACUGAUAGCCAAAGGUCUGGUUUCUUAGACUAUGUUUACAUAAGGCAGGACUUUGACUUCUUAUUUGAAACGUUGCAGGUUUAACGGAUACUAUAUUUGAUUUUUUUAUUUUUUUUUUCUUCCAGGCAGAUUUGAAAGACAGAGCACGGAAAGAUAAUGCAUUUACCAGAGUCUAUUACAUUGUACUUCUUAUGGUUUGAACAUCCUUUGACCUUGCUGUAAAGCACUCUUUGCUUCUGAUGGCAGAGAUGAGUCUGGAUCUGGAUGCCGGUUAUAAGCUGUCUGGCCUUGGAGGAGAAGAGAGGGUGGAGACAGAGGUCAUCAUCAUCGCCUGCCCUGGGCCUUCUGAGAGACACGUUCGCAGGCCUGGCAGCUCCUCUGAAAGUACUGAAAAGCCUCUGAUUGAAGAUGCUCUGGAAGAGAGCGAGCCAGAGAGGGAGAGACAGACAGAGAGAGAGAAGGUGGAAUAUGGUCGGAGGGAAUGAAACAAGCAGUCAAACUGUCAAGUGAGUCGUAAAAUAGCUCCCACUUUGCAGAAGGACACUGCUCAUCCUUUCCUGACAGCUCUCUUUCUUUUCCACCCCUCCCUUUCUGUUUUACCUCUCUCUUUUUGUCUUUUAACAAAUCAUCUUUUUAACUUUGCCUUUUUAACUAUCAUCUUAAUCCUAUACAACAUAAUACAAAUUAUAAACACAUACACACAUUAAUAUACUGUAUAUAUAGGGGAGAUGAGAUCUUGUUGUCAUCAUCCAGUGUAUACUGUAUCUCUCAAUAUUUUUUUUUUUUAAAGACAGUUUCUAU
ensembl:lncRNA